rnacentral:lncRNA from 1 species
UUUUUUGGAUGUACAACUUAUAUUUUUGGGGUUUUUAUAAUUAAUAAUAAUAAGAGCAUAGCUACUAUAUUAUCGGAAGCAUAGAGGGUCUGGUACUUCCGACUUUUUGAUUUUUUUUUUUUAAAAGAAGGUAGCAUGCUACCGCUUCAUUUAUAAAGAGUUUGAACUUAGCAAUUACGAAAAGCAACUAGGCUUCUACAGGAACGGAGCAAAAAAAAAAAAAAAAAAAAACUAGAUGCAAUUGGAGGGACUUUUUGACUAUUAAAUCAGUCUCUUUGAUCAUUUCUAAUCUUUAGAUUAAUACUGUUAUCCUAUGGAGACCACUCAACUCUAGGAGAGACCGCAAUCGUUCUAAUCGUAGAAUUUUUGAUCCAAGGAUCAAAAAAUCAAAAGCAUCAAAUUCUCUAUACUUUCAAUAGUAUAGUAGCUCUACACUGAAAAUAAUAUCCUGAUGUAUCUAUAUGAGUGGUCAUAGUCUUAUUUUACAAUUUUUUUUUUAAAA